rfam:Mycobacterium arosiense ATCC BAA-1401 = DSM 45069 Mycobacterium_arosiense_DSM45069_contig21, whole genome shotgun sequence.
UGCGUUUCUUGCCGCGGAGUUCGACCGCCCCGCGACGAAAUGAUCGCCUAUAUCGAUGCUCAUCGCGAUCAGUUCGGGGUCGAGCUCAUUUGCCGCGUGUUGCGGGCAGCUAUCCCCG